rnacentral:tRNA from 1 species
UAGAGCAGUAGGUAGCUCGUUGGGCUCAUAACCCAAAGGUCGCAGGUUCGAGUCCUGC